AUUGAACGCUGGCGGCAGGCCUAACACAUGCAAGUCGAGCGGAGCGGCGGACGGGUGAGUAAUGUAUGGGGAUCUGCCCGAUAGAGGGGGAUAACUACUGGAAACGGUGGCUAAUACCGCAUACUGUCGGAUGAACCCAUCUGGGAUUAGCUCGUAGGUAAGGUAAUGGCUCACCAAGGCUACGAUCCGUAACUGGUCUGAGAGGAUGAUCAGUCACACUGGAAGUGAGAAACGGUCCAGACUCCUACGGGAGGCAGCAGUGGGGAAUAUUGGACAAUGGGCGAAAGCCUGAUCCAGCCGUGCCGCGUGUGUGAAGAAGGUCUUCGGAUUGUAAAACACUUUAAGUUGGGAGGCGGUACCGGCAGAAUAAGCACCGGCUAACUCUGUGCCAGCAGCCGCGGUAAUAC
rnacentral:rRNA from 1 species